GCGGAGGUGGCGAAAUUGGCAGACGCACCAGCUUGAGGUGCUGGCGCCCAAAAGGCGUAGGGGUUCAAGUCCCCUCUUCCGCACCA
rnacentral:tRNA from 1 species